UUUUAUGUUACAGUGUACUGCUUAUUUAUGUUAUAGUGUAUUGCUAUUUAGGUUAACAAUAUACUGUUGGUUGUUAUUGCCUGUUAAGUUAUAAUGUUAAUUCUAGUUUAUGUUUUCAAAACAGGUUAACAUUCUGAAAGUUGUUUAUAUUUCGAAAUAUGGUUCAAGAGAACUCAUACUAUGGAUGUGGUUUAUAAAUGAUUUGUUUUGCUAUGGAGAAACAAUACAAGAAAUAUGAAGCAAUUUUGG
rnacentral:lncRNA from 1 species